AUUGAACGCUGGCGGCAGGCCUAACACAUGCAAGUCGAACGGUAACAGGAAGAAGCUUGCUUCUUUGCUGACGAGUGGCGGACGGGUGAGUAAUGUCUGGGAAACUGCCUGAUGGAGGGGGAUAACUACUGGAAACGGUAGCUAAUACCGCAUAACGUCGCAAGACCAAAGAGGGGGACCUUCGGGCCUCUUGCCAUCGGAUGUGCCCAGAUGGGAUUAGCUAGUAGGUGGGGUAACGGCUCACCUAGGCGACGAUCCCUAGCUGGUCUGAGAGGAUGACCAGCCACACUGGAACUGAGACACGGUCCAGACUCCUACGGGAGGCAGCAGUGGGGAAUAUUGCACAAUGGACGCAAGCCUGAUGCAGCCAUGCCGCGUGUAUGAAGAAGGCCUUCGGGUUGUAAAGUACUUUCAGCGGGGAGGAAGGGAGUAAAGUUAAUACCUUUGCUCAUUGACGUUACCCGCAGAAGAAGCACCGGCUAACUCCGUG
rnacentral:rRNA from 1 species